UACGUAGGGGGCAAGCGUUAUCCGGAAUUAUUGGGCGUAAAGAGCUCGUAGGCGGUUUGUCGCGUCUGCCGUGAAAGUCCGGGGCUCAACUCCGGAUCUGCGGUGGGUACGGGCAGACUAGAGUGAUGUAGGGGAGACUGGAAUUCCUGGUGUAGCGGUGAAAUGCGCAGAUAUCAGGAGGAACACCGGUGGCGAAGGCGGGUCUCUGGGCCGUAACUGACGCUGAGGAGCGAAAGCAUGGGGAGCGAACAGG
rnacentral:rRNA from 1 species